rnacentral:sRNA from 1 species
GCCCCGAGUAGUGCAUGCGGGGCGGGGCGGCCGUGAGCCGGAGGCGAAGAUGGAAGGCUUAACGCUGAGCGAUGCGGAGCAGAAAUACUAUUCAGACCUCUUCUCCUACUGCGACAUUGAGAGCACCAAGAAGGUGGUGGUCAACGGGCGGGUGCUGGAGCUGUUCCGGGCCGCGCAGCUGCCGAACGACGUGGUCCUACAGGCUGGAGUGCUAUGGCAUGAUCUCGGCUCACUGCAACCUCUGCCCCCCAGGUUCAAGUGAUUCUUCUGCCUCAGCCUCCUGAGUAGCUGGGAUUACAGGCAUGUGCCACCACGCCUGGAUCAUGGAGCUUUGUGGUGCAACAAGACUUGG